ensembl:snoRNA Snord87 small nucleolar RNA SNORD87
GCUGGCACAAUGAUGACUUAAAUUUUUGCCGUUUACCCAGCUGAGUGUUUCUUUGAAGAGAGAAUCUUAAAAGACUGAGAUGCCAGC